GGAGGAGAAAGAGGGAGAGGAUCUUAUGGUUUGGGGAACAAAAAGGGGAAUUGGUGACUGUAAGAUGCCCUCCUACUAAAGUGCUGCUGCAAUAAAGCAGGGCUAUAAAGAGCUCACUCAUGUUGAGGAAGAGCUAGAUGAGUGAGGAAAUGAGAAGUAGAGGGUGGAGCAAGUGCAGCACACAGAAUUCACAGGGGAGAUGCCCAGGCUUUGCAAUCAGGUGACAUCUUAAUGCGGACUCAAUGCAGAGGAUCCUCAAAUUGGUGCCAGAGAAGCCUGGCUUUCAGACUGAGCUUCAUCCCAUGGAUCACCACUCAGAUACUGCAUGAGGAAGGUGCCAGCUGAACUGAUGAAAGUCUCAAGAGCUGGCCAAUGUCAGCUGCAAACAGAGCUGCCUGCAGAAUGAGACACAUAUGCUGUAAUAAUAGGGUGUAGGGAGACCUGUGAGAGCUGUAUACAUACACCUCUACUUCACUGUGUGCAGCUCGAGCUAUAAAGACAGAUCUUCAAAACCACCUGACUCCCCUCAGCAAAUCCUGUCUGAAAACUACAGUCCAUUCCUGUCUGUGUGAAUGAUUAAUGCUAUGGACUCGCACAUACAGACAAGGGCUCAUCAAUUUCUUUAAAUGGUGAUGGUUCUCGAAUGUUUCACCUAAUUUCAAUGAAUUUGCAAACCCCAUUUCAUUUUACUUGAGCCUGUCCCCCAGGGGCUUACAUUGUACAGUUUCUCUGAAAAUGUGUAUUGCUUUAGAUCUGUGCUUUGUAACUGGCUAACCACCUACUUAGCAGUGCUUGUCAUUUGUUUUGUUUUUUUUUUUUAAUAUUCUCAAAUCUUAU